CCUCAGUACAGCCUCGGUCCCUCCUGGAAACUGUUUCGGGAUUUUGAGUCUCUGUGCUUGUGAAUUCUGUUUUGGAUAUUAUUGGUGCAAUUGUUGGACAAAAUGACUUGCUGUGGUAUUAAUUGCACUAAUAGAGCGUCCAAGGAGUCUCCACUUCAUUUUUUUCGGGAAGGACCUGAUUGGUGUCCAGAACCUGCUGAAGAAGCACCAGGCUCUGCAGGCUGAGAUCACAGGUCAUGAACCUCGCAUCAAGGCUGUCACCCAGAAAGGAGAGACCAUAGUGGAGGAAGGUAGAGCAGGUCUGGUCCUGACAUGUUUCUGAGGUGUCUGCAGGUUCUGGCUCACUUUGUUUGGGUCCAGGUCACUUCGCUGGUGAGGAAGUGAAGACUAAACUGUGGGAGCUUCAUGGACGUUGGGACAAGCGAACAUCUCCACACCUGCUUUGUGUUUGUGUGACUUUAGGUUGUUUUACUUGAACUCGCGUCUUUAGCUGAAUGAGGAUGGAGAGACGGGUCGGACCUGGAGCAGGUCGAGGUCUUGCAGAAGAAGUUUGACGACUUCCAGAAGGACCUGAAGGCCAACGAGUCCCGCCUGAGGGACAUCAACAAGGUGGCAUCUGAACUGGAGUCAGAAGGUCUGAUGGCUGAGGAGGCUCCUAUUGUUCAGGCUCAGCAACAAGAACAUCUGGGUUCUGCUCCUGGAAAGGAUGAAGCCGACUCUAACCCCGGCUUUCCACAGGAGUCGUCAGCAGCACGUCAUAGCUGCUGAUAGGAACCGCUGUGGUCAACAGAACCUUUUCCACUGGAGCCGUCAGCAACCGUCAGCAGCGCGAGUCGGCCGCGUCUCAGGAGCAGCAUGUCGCGGCCUUUACGCGCCGGUUCUAUUUUCUACGCGCGACGCCUCUGAAACGGGUCAAGUUCGACAUUUUUGGGGAAGGAAAGACAGGAAAUCGGACGCGGAAAUUGAGAGAAGCUACCGAGAUUUUCAGAAUAAAGAACGUACUGCCUUCCGGUUGCUUUACUUUUAAAAAAGGUUACUAACUGCGGCCCCAUGAGAAGUUAUCACCUAGCUAGCGGUCUCCUUUGUUUUUCAGGUCCGUAUUGGCGAUUAUAAAACGGACAGAACAUAAAACACAAACCAUGUUGUAAUUUUCUCCUGCUUGUUGUUGUGUUUACUGACGAAGUCACUCGUGUGACUUCGUGCUCGGUCGGUGACAGCUGCUCCCCUGCUGCUUCGCGUCUCGUGGGAAGGGCCAAGCAGCAGCUUACACGAGCAAGACGUGCUGCUGCAGUAACAUGCUGCUGACGGCUCCCGUGGAAACCCGGGGUAAGACGGCGUC